AUCCACAGCCAUAUCACCCUGCAGUCCAAGACUGGUUACUCACCGAAGCUAAGCAGAGCUGAGCCUGGUCAGUACCUGGAUAAGCGACCACAUGGGAAACUAAAUUGCUGUUGGAA
rfam:Danio rerio chromosome 4, GRCz11 reference primary assembly.